rnacentral:lncRNA from 1 species
GAUAGGUAGAUAGAGAUCUCUCUCCAUGGACUGAGGAAAGAUCUUGUGAGGACGCAGUGACAAGGUGGCCAUUUGCAGGCCAGGAAGAAAGCCGUCACCAGAACCCCGACCAUGCCACCACCCUGAUCUCGGACUUCCAGCCUCCAGAAUUCAAGACUUUCCCCUGACUUCUCUGCCUGGCAAAUGUCCAUCUCUCCUUGAAGACCUAACUCCAUCCAUUUGCCCCCACAGUUACUGGCCCUUUUGGCAGUUCACUCCUUGAAGUUUGACAACCACUGAGUUGGACAAGGAAGGAGAGGAAGAGGAGCAGAGAUUUCCAAGCAACAGGACAGCUUGCGUGAUGGCCUGAGAUGAGCACAUUGAGGCCCCUAGAGGGCAAGCACCCGCUUCAAAUCUCAGGGACAGUCAUGGCCGAGUGUGAGGGGAACUCAGGCUCUCUGAGACCUGGGCCUGGCUGUCCCCUCCCUGGGAGAGAAUUCAAAGUCUGGAGUCUUUCCUGAGAUCCCCCAGGUGGGAGUCUGAGACACAGAGAAGGGACACUAAAGACUGGCUUCCUGUCCUGGGCUCUUGGGUCAAUGACAGAGAGAAGCAAGCCUGGGCCCAUCAAAGCCUCUGGGUGCAAGGUCUGGCGUGGCUGGGCAGGAAAGAGCUGCCUUCAAAAGCUGCCUCCUCCAAAGUGCAGCAGGGAGCCCUUCAUUGACUCCAGGGAGGAUCACAAACAAGGAGGAGGCACGCCUGAAACAUAAGUACCAGGAGGGCAGCCUGGCAGAGCAGGCAGGGGCCUGGGCUCUGCACCCCACAGUUUACUGGCUGUGCCAUCCUGGACAAACACUCCUUCCUUCAGUUUCCCCAGCUGCGAAAAGGGGACAAUAAUUGUACCUAACUCAUAAAGUUGUUGCAAGGUUUAAAUACGUAAAUUAUUACAUGUCCGUGAGAUGAGCAUGCAAAGUGUUGAGAAGCCUGCACAAAAUAAGUGUUCAAUAAAUGUCAACUAGUAACAUUAAGAAACGAUGAGAAGUUGUGCAAAGAAAAAAAUGUGAUGAAACAGAGUUCUCGGGACUCAGGGUAGGGCACCACGACAUGGGGUAGUCAAAGAAAGCUUCCUGGAGGAGGUGACAUUGGAGCUGAGACUUGACUGAUGAAAGUCAGGCUUGUGGGGAUCUGGGGGAUGGUGUUCCAGGCAGAGGGAACAGCAACUGCAAAGGCCCUGAGGUGGGAAUGAGCUUGGCACAGCCAAGGGCUAACAGCAUCCACAAAGCCAGCGUGGCCGGAAUGGAGUGUGUGCUGAGGAAUUGCUAGAAGAGGAGAUCAGUGAGGUAGGGCCUGGCACACUAUGGGGAGGGGAGCCCAUAGCACCCCAGGCCCCCAUCAUGGAAAACUGGAUCUCAGACCCUCCUGGCCUUUGUCCUAAUGACACUUUUUAAAAAAGCAAAUACAUCUCUAGCCUUCACACCAACCAAGAGACAGAAAGUCUGGGAGUGAGUUUGUGCCAAAGUCUAGGAGCGCCUGCCUGAUACCUUCUUCCUAUCUUCUGCCAGCGAGUUAUGGGCAAAUUAUUACUAUUUACUUGAUAUUACUAGCUGACAUUUAUCUUCUUUCUGUCUUCUACUGGGACAAUGGCUGGUCAGCCUCUGCCUUGGGGAAUCCCAGGGAAGGGAAUCCUCCCACCUCCACCUCACAGACGCAGCUGGAACCUCUGCACAGGCAAAGGGACAAUGUUAAGAUCAUUCCAGUGUCCUGAAGCUCCUGCAGACCUCAGGAUCUGGAUCCUGGCUCCUGUACACCAGGGAGGAAAAGAAGAGCCCUGCCUUCUCGAGAACUCUCACUGACAGAGGCAUAAGCCGAGGGAGGAACAGAAGAAGCCAUUCCCAAGGCCCAGCUUGUGGGCAGAGAGUGACCACCCUGCUACCUACUUUACUCCGAGGCUGCCCUGUCCCUAAUAAUCCUUCCAGACUCUGGGAGUGUCCAUGCCUCCAGGGCUCACAAGAGGUGGGUGGCCAGGAUGGAACCAACCUAGGGACUCCCUCUGUGCUCUCUUUCCAACUUCAAGCCCAAAUCAGAUGGGGACCCAGGCCAGCCCCACUGAAGAAGUGACUGUCGGCUAAAGGGACCACCGGAGGAGAUUGUGUGGGCCAGGUGUACCUGUGCCAAGACUAAGAUGAGUAUAUUUGGGAAGAGCAGAAGGAAACAGCGAGUAUCUUUAACAACAAUCACAAAGUACAAUUUCUAACAAACACCCUACUUCCUUCUUUCUAUGUAUCUAUUCAUUGCUUGCUGGAGACUAGCAGUCAGAAUGAGGCUAGGUCAAGGCAUCCAUCCCCAGGGGGGCCAGUUUUGCUGGGAGAGCGUGGGUGGCCCAGAGCACCCCUGCCCAUGGUGGCCUGGAUGACCCCUCAUAGGGCAGCAUAGUGGUCAAUUGUUCAUCACUGUGACCCUGAGUGUACAUCUUCUAUUGAAUACAAGAUCCUUCCUCCUGUUCUCUGAUCGACCCCCAUUUGGGUCAGUGGAGACUCAGAGAAGUGAAGCGAUUUGCUCAAGGUCACACAGCCCGUGGAUGGAAGCUGGUAGGGCAGUGCCUGCCAGGACCACAAGGUCUAUUGAGGAAUGAGGCUGGGGAGGCCCCUGCUAUGUGUCUGGAGGGGAUCCUGUGUGCCAGCAUCACAGGAAAGGGAGUCCAGAGCCCUUGGGAAAGGGAGUGGGUGCUGAGGCCGUUUCGCUCACCUUUGCGACUCAGAAGGAGUGAGGGUCAGGAUGCCACUCCGUAAUUAACUGGGCCCAGCACCCCCGGGCCUUGUUCCUUGGGGUCUACUUGGAGGCUCUGGGGGCAUCACUUGGGGUCUUGAGCCAGGACCUGUGUCCGGGCAGCAAAGGACUCAGGGAAGAGUGGAGGGCCAAAUGGGAGUUGGUGAAGUCUCUGGGGACAGUGGGCUCGUGGCCAGGGUGGAAGAGACACAGGCUGAGAGGGCCGUCCAGUUCAACCCGCUGGUUUUAGGGUCACAUAGGACAGAGUGGGGUAUAAGAGCAUGAGUUCUGAGUCAAACAGACCUGGACCUGAGUCCUGUGUGACUCUGGACAAAUGGCUUCAUCUCUCUGAGCCUUACCUUCCUCAUCUGUAAAAUGGGAUGAUCAAUGAACCCUCCAGGGUCUAUGGUGAGGAAGAAAGGAGGUGGUGGGUUCAGUUCCUAAGUGCCCACUAAUACCUCCUCCUGUUAUCAAUACUGGCAGUUGCUCUCAUUACUACAGGUAACUCGAGUCACAAUAGCAGUAACAACUCAAGCUCCUUAGUCCUGGAAGAGGCUUCCUUCCACUGGACCAGUGAGUCUCAGCUGGCUGUGAUUUUGCCCCCUGCCAGGGGACUGCUGGCACUGUCUGGCAACAUUUUUGGUUGUCACAAUUUGGGGGUUGCUACUGGCAUCUAGGGGACAGAGGUCAGGGAUGCCACUAAACAUCCCGCUACAACAAAGAAAUAUCGAGCCCAAAAUGCAAUAGUGCGAGAUUGAGAAACUCUGCACUAGACCUGUUCUGUCCCGGUGUCACUGGCUCACGGUGGCCAGUGAGCACCUGAGAUGCACUCAAUCUACGCUGAGAUGUGCUGAAGUGUAAAAUGUGCACUGGAUUACAAAGACUUAGCAUGAAAAAAGGAAGGUAAACCAUUUCCUUAAUAAUUUUUAUAUUGAUUGCAUGUUGAAAUGAUAAUAUUCUAAAAUAUUGGGUUAAACAAAAUAUAUUAUUAAAAUUAUGCCUGUUGUUUUAACUUUAAAAAAGUGUGGACUACUAGAAGAUUUAAAAUGCAAUUGUGGUUUUGUUGUGGUUCAAACUGGACUUUUCUG